AUUGAACGCUGGCGGCAGGCCUAACACAUGCAAGUCGAACGAGGCGCGGACGGGUGAGUAAUGUCUGGGAAUCUGCCUGAUGGAGGGGGAUCACUACUGGAAACGGUAGCUAACACCGUAUACCAUCGUAUGCGCCCAGAUGGGAUUAGCUAGUAGGUGGGGUAAAGGCUCACCUAGGCGACGAUCCCUAGCUGGUCUGAGAGGAUGACCAGCCACACUGGGACUGAGACACGGUCCAGACUCCUACGGGAGGCAGCAGUGGGGAAUAUUGCACAAUGGGCGCAAGCCUGAUGCAGCCAUGCCGCGUGUAUGAAGAAGGCCUUAGGGUUGUAAAGUACUUUCAGCGGGGAGGCGUUACCCGCAGAAGAAGCACCGGCUAACUCCGUGCCAGCAGCCGCGGUAAUUC
rnacentral:rRNA from 1 species